GGAUUAAGCUGUCCUACCGCCGCGGUUUUACCGGGGAGGAAAGUCCGGGCAGCACAGAGUACCGUACUUCCUAACGGGAAGGCAAUAAAUUGGUGACGAUUUGUUGACAGCCAGUGCCACAGAAAUGAUACCGCCUUGGCAUGUUUUUUAUAUACCAAGGUAAGGGUGAAAUGGUGGAGUAAGAGACCACCGCUCUCCGGGCAACCUGAGGGGCACGGUAAACCUUACGGGCUGAAAGAUCAAAUAGGUGUUAAUUUGUGGGGCUACUCGUCCCCCGUUCUCACGAGCAUUAACACGGGUAGAUCGUUAGAGGUUUCGGGUGACCGGAAUCCUGGAUAAAUGGUAGGAGUUCUCGCCAUCUGGUGAGAAAACAGAACCCGGCUUACAGGCUUACUCCUUCU
rnacentral:RNase_P_RNA from 1 species